CCUACGGGUGGCAGCAGUGAGGAAUAUUGGUCAAUGGCCGUAAGGCUGAACCAGCCAAGUCGCGUGAAGGAUGACUGACCUAUGGUUUGUAAACUUCUUUUAUAGGGGAAUAAAGGUAUCCACGUGUGGCUAUUUGCAUGUACCUUAUGAAUAAGCAUCGGCUAACUCCGUGCCAGCAGCCGCGGUAAUACGGAGGAUGCGAGCGUUAUCCGGAUUUAUUGGGUUUAAAGGGAGCGUAGGUUGUUUUUUAAGUCAGCGGUGAAAGUUUGUGGCUCAACCAUAAAAUUGCCGUUGAUACUGGAAGACUUGAGUAUGUUUGAGGUAGGCGGAAUGCGUGGUGUAGCGGUGAAAUGCAUAGAUAUCACGAAGAACUCCGAUUGCGAAGGCAGCUUACUAAGCUGUAACUGACACUGAUGCACGAAAGCGUGGGGAUCAAACAGGAUUAGAUACCCCUGUAGUC
rnacentral:rRNA from 1 species